CURUAUUCCCACUCUAGGUUUUGUCGUGUCUUUGCUAAGAAGGGUGCAACGUGUGAUGAAUCUGUGCAGGUUGGCUCAAGAGCUGACAGUACAAGAGGUCAGUCUGAGAUGCCGAAGACCGUUGAGGAAAGAGCCUGGACCUUGAGCAUCUCUGAUGARUUUAUAACAUGGACAAGUAACUCAGCAAGCAGAAUGGGACCUGUUUGUUCAGUCUUGUGUGAUUUAUGUGAACCACAGCUGAUGUCAUCAGUGAGAUCAUUUCAUAGCUUGCGUUUGCUGUAG
rnacentral:lncRNA from 1 species